rnacentral:tRNA from 1 species
CAGAACCGGUGGGCCUUGAUCCCACAAAAAAUAGUUAACAGCUAUUUACCCCAACCAGCGAGUAUCAAUUCA